CUUGCUUCAUUACUCUCUUUUCUAAUGUGAUAUGUGGCAUUAGAAUCAUUUUCAAUAUUUGGCUGAAUACCUAGAACACUAUGCAAUUUGUUAUAACAGUGAGGCUGGAGAACUUUAUUCAAAGAAGCUUGCCAAGUUUGUUGGAAAGCGUCUCAAAUCAGAAUGGGCUGCUUCUAUAUGGACUAGUACACUGCAACGAACAAUUCUGACAGCCACUCCAAUUAUUGGAUUUCCCAAGAUACAAUGGCGUGCACUUGAUGAGAUAAACGCAGGGGUGUGUGAUGGUAUGGCAUAUGCAGAAAUCAAGAAAAACAUGCCAGAGGAGUAUGAGUAGGUUUGCAGACUUGUAAUUUUUCUCUUAUUUGCAAGUUGCAUGCAACUAAUAUGGCAGAUAAAAAGAAGCACAAUGUGAAACUUCUCUCUUAUUAAUUUUUAUGAUACAUAGAUUAAAAUAUAAUAUGUCUUAGACAAAUAUUAACUAAGACCUUGUAACUCUAGAUUAUAUGACCAGGAACCAUAUAAUAUUUCUUUGGAUUUAUUCCUUAAACUUUUUUAAAAAUUGUUUUUAGUUCGUGAAUUUUUUUAUUUAUUUUUAGUUCUUUAAUUAUAUUUUGUCUUGGCUUUUUUGUUUUUCUUGCAAAUUUAAGCAUGUCCAGCUUUCAUUUAUACAUUUGAUGUCUUUUUAUUUUCUUAUUUGUUGAGUUACUAUUCAAUCACAAAGUUGCCAAUUGCAAUACCAGGUAUAUAGGAACGGAAAUCCUUAUGGAAUAGCUGAAGGUAUUGUUUUCAGUAUGCCAUGCCGAUCAAAGGUAAGUUUGUUUACUGUGUUCUUCAUUCUUUUUAAUUUCUAAAAUUGCUUUUAUCCCUCCUGUGAUGAAAGUUUUUAUCCAUUUGGGUGAUGGUGAUUAUGAACUUGUCAAGGAUGAUUAUGA